rnacentral:lncRNA from 1 species
UUCAUAGUGAGCAGGGCCAGGGGCAGCGGCUCGCACCUGUAAUCUCAGCACUUUGGGAGGCCAAGGCAGGUGAAUCACUUGAGGUCAGGAGUUCAAGACCAGCCUGGCCAACGUUGUGAAACCCCCAACUCUAUUAAAAAUACAAAAAGUUAGUUGGGUGUCGUGGCGGACACCUGUAGUCCCAGCUACUCGGGAGGCUGAGGUGGGGCAAUUGCUGGAACCAGGGAGGCAGAGGUUGCAGUGAGCCAAUAUUGCACCACUGCACUCUAUCUAGCCUGUGAGACAGAGCAAGACUUCAUCUCAAAAAAAAAAAAAAAAAGGUGAGCAGCUCUCAUCAAUUAUAGGUUUUGCUGCUCCUGCAAUUUUAAAUGCAUAUCUGGGGCAGGCACAGUGGCUCAUACCUGUGAUCCUAGCACUUGGGAGGCUAAGCAGGAGAAUCACUUAAGCCCAAGAAUUUAAGAACAGCCUGGACAACACAAGGACAGCCCAUGUCUACAAAAAGAAAAGAAAAAUAGCCAGGCAUGGUGGUGCAUGCCUGUGAUCCCAGCUACUCAGGAGGCUGAGGUGGGAGGAUCGCUUGAGCCCAGGAGUUCAAGGCUGCAGUUAGCUAUGAUUGUGCCACUGCACUAUAGCCUGGACGACAGAGCAAGACCCUGUCUCAAAAACAAAAAAAAAAGUAAGACUAAAAUGAGACCCAGUGUCCUGAUUCCUGGCCAAGUGCUCUUUACUUUGUACAAAUUCCAGCUGCUCUUUUUUUUUUUUUUUUUUUUGAGAUGGAGCUUUACUCUUGUUGCCCAAGCUGGAGUGCAAUGGACGAUCUCACCUCCUGGGUUCAAGUGAUUCUCCUGCCUCAGCCUCCUGAGUAGCUGGGAUUACAGACAUGUGUCACCAUGCCCAGCUAAUUUUUUUUUGCAUUUUUAGUAGAGAUGGGGUUUCUCCAUGUUGGUCAGGCUGGUCUCAAACUCCUGACCUCAGGUGAUCCACCCACCUCGGCCUCCCAAAGUGCUGAGAUUACAAGUGUGAGCCACCCCGCCUAGUUCAGCUGCCCUUCUUUUUAGGUGGAGGAAAUCUCAGUGGUGUCAGUGAAUAGAGGAACAAAGGAACACCAGAGAAAGUCCUUGGGAGGCUGGCAGGGGAGAAUAAACAAGCCAGGAGUGAUCCCCUCUUCAGGCACAUCCUAUUUGCUGAGACUUAACUCUGAAUGUUUUCAAAUGGGUUCUGAUUCCCAAACAUUUACAUUCACCGGGAGGACUAAAUGUAAUUACUUCCUUUUUGUGUCAAAAAUUGCAAAAAUUAGGGGAUGUACAACCACCACAGAAGGAAUUCAGAAGCUGAGGUGGGAAGGGAUAGCACCCAAUCUGCAAAGCCAGUGUGAGCCUUUUAAGCCAUAGCAAUGGGGAAGCUGCCGUCUCUGAGCUCCAUGAUUAAAGCAACUGUAAAUUAGCUUCAGCAAAGGUCUUUCCCCUUAAAUUGAAAAGCACCGUGUAAUGGAAUUUCAUAGAUGCUGCUUUGGAAAUGACUUCAUACCUCACUCUGUUCAGAGCUGAGAGGUGGCCACAUGCCAUGAAUCAUAAGAGGCUCAGGCUCUCGUGGGGCUGCUGAACUAUCCUCUGACUUCCACCUCUAGAUGCUCACAGACAACUCGCCCCCAUCCCUUAACCUCGGAAGAGAAUUACUCAUCUCAGAGCACUGGAGUCACUGCUGCAUCAUUAGUAAUCUCCUCUUCCCCCAACUCAGGCUACUUACCUGCAAACUGUGCUUUGUCCCACAGUCAGGCUCCUAGGAGUUGCUAGCUGCAAAUAGAUUGCCCAGGUACAUGCAUUCUAAGUAAAAGGCUUUGAAAAGCUGUAAGAUUUGGGGGCUCUAGUAAGAUUUUCAAUAGAAAUGAUAAAGUCAAGCUGACAAAGGUAUAUAAGGAAUGCCACGCUGUUUUCAAUGACCACCUUCGCCUUCUUGGGGGACUCUCAGAGACCGUGAGACUCAUCUUUCUAAAUUGUUGGCAAGUUUACCGUCAACCAAAGCAGGUUGCAUUUCAGUGUCAAGUAUGAUUGACAAAUAUUUUCAAACAGCCCAAAUGUUCAAU